rnacentral:rRNA from 1 species
UACGGAGGGUGCAAGCGUUAAUCGGAAUUACUGGGCGUAAAGGGUGCGUAGGUGGUUUGAUAAGUUAUCUGUGAAAUUCCCGGGCUUAACCUGGGCUGGUCAGAUAAGACUGUUGGACUGGAGUAUGGGAGAGGGUAGUGGAAUUUCCGGUGUAGCGGUGAAAUGCGUAGAGAUCGGAAGGAACACCAGUGGCGAAGGCGGCUACCUGGCCUAAUACUGACACUGAGGCACGAAAGCGUGGGGAGCAAACAGG